rnacentral:misc_RNA from 1 species
AAUGUUAUUGUACAGCGAACAAAGAAAGAAAACUCUCAUAAGAGUUUUCCCACCAUUUCUCAUAGGUGAAUGUAGAAAUGCCAAAAAAAAAAAAAUGACUACUCAAUCUACAUAAUUUUCUCACUUCUGAUUAGAAGCCCCACUUUGGAUAAACGACAGUUGCCAAAACUUUCCAUGGGAAACGGAACUCCUUUGCUUCCAUCAUGGAGUGGAUUCAGAGUUAACUAUCAUAUAAUCAGCUUGCAAGACCAAACUACAAGCAACAAGAUCUCAGGGAAGGACAUCAGAAGUCAUCUGCACCUUCAUCUUUCAUCACUGAAUUAGGGCCAUCAUUGAAUCCAGGACCCGGGGCAAGCUCAUUGAGAUCAAGAAAGUGCCUUUUCCCUCCACUUUCAACAUCCUCUUGAUCUUGAUCUGGACUGCUUGUUCUCUUUGGUACAUCAUUUUGAUCAACUGUUGCCAUCUCAGAAGGCACAUCAUUAACCGGUUGCUCAACUUUCGUCUCCUCAUUGUCAUUGUUUUCCUCUGUUUCAUCACUUCCCAUUGAGAACUCUGCAUUAUCACUUGCAUCAUAAUGCUCUUCGGAUCCAUUUGACUUCUCAGGUUUCGUUGACUCAGACUCUGAUUCUGACAUCUCUAAAUUGCUAUAGUUGAUGCGGUUUCUGGUUGCCCUGUUACUGCGUCUUAAACCUGACUGAAGGUUGCCCACUGACCUCAACUUGGUUUCUCUUCUUGUGCGGCCCGGCAGUUUCUUAAAUCUCCGACUCCGAGGUUCAUCGCUCUCCUCACUAGCACUUGGGGAAUCUUCAUCUUCAUAUUCCUCUUCUUCAUCUUCAGGAUUUUCUUCGUCCCAAUGGUACUCAUCAUCUCCUUCUGAGCUACUUGACACCUUCCGCUGUUUCCGUUUCCUUAAAUAUUCUUCAUCAUAAACUGCUUCACCCAUUAUAUCAUCAUCACUGUCAAAAUCUGCCUCAUUUUCAGACAAUUCUUCAAUAAACUCUGAUGCAGAAUAGCGUUGGGGUCUCUGCCUCCUACGGUUGCUCCGAUCUAAUUGUUCAUCGUUAUGGUCUUCAUCAUAUUCAUCGUAUUCGGGUGAUUUAGGAGAACGCACUCUGAAAGACACGUGUUGUGACAAGUGAGGAGGACUACCCAAUCUACCAUUUGUAGAAGUUUCAUGCCUUGUAGCAGGAUCUCUCCUCAAAGCAGGUUCUGCAGAUGGUUGACCGUUCUUGGUUAUCUUGAUAGCCUCAUUAAUUGACCGAUCAUAAUCAUCAAAUGUGUAGGUGACAGGCUUCCUAUCCCGCAAGGAGCGUCCACCAGAAAGACCAUCCAUAUUUAGCAUGUUAUCAAGCAUCAAUGCCUGUCUAUGUUGUUUCUUCAGCAAUUUCUCUUUUUUCUUGUGGACGCUCUCAACCUCAGCAAGCAUGUCAUUUUUCAACUUCUUUCCAACAGAAGCCUCUGUUCUAUUUUUGCUCGAGAACAGCUUCUCAGAAACAUCCUGGAAUUCGUCCAAGUUAGUUGCAACAGUUUCCCACUGAUAACAUGAGCUAGGUAUUUGUGGAACAGUCUUUCCCUUUCCUUUCUUGAUU